AUUGAACGCUGGCGGCAUGCCUUACACAUGCAAGUCGAACGGCAGCACGGGUGCUUGCACCUGGUGGCGAGUGGCGAACGGGUGAGUAAUACAUCGGAACGUACCUUAUCGUGGGGGAUAACGCAGCGAAGGCUGUGCUAAUACCGCAUACGCCCUGAGGGGGAAAGCGGGGGAUCGAAAGACCUCGCGCGAUUAGAGCGGCCGAUGCCCGAUUAGCUUGUUGGUGGGGUAAAAGCCCACCAAGGCGACGAUCAGUAGCUGGUCUGAGAGGACGAUCAGCCACACUGGGACUGAGACACGGCCCAGACUCCUACGGGAGGCAGCAGUGGGGAAUUUUGGACAGUGGGGGCAACCCUGAUCCAGCAAUGCCGCGUGAGUGAAGAAGGCCUUCGGGUUGUAAAGCUCUUUUGUCAGGGAAGAAACACCGGCUCUAACACAGUCCGGGAAUGACGGUACCUGAAGAAUAAGCACCGGCUAACUACGUGCCAGCCGCCGCAGUAA
rnacentral:rRNA from 1 species